UACAGAGGGUGCGAGCGUUAAUCGGAAUUACUGGGCGUAAAGCGUGCGUAGACGGUUAUUUAAGUCGGGUGUGAAAGCCCCGGGCUCAACCUGGGAAUUGCAUUCGAGACUGAAUAGCUAGGGUACGGUAGAGGGAAGUGGAAUUUCCGGUGUAGCGGUGAAAUGCGUAGAUAUCGGAAGGAACAUCAGUGGCGAAAGCGACUUCCUGGACCA
rnacentral:rRNA from 1 species